AUAAUAGUGGAUACAAAACACAUUGUGUGAAUUUAGAAGUCAAGCAGAAACCAUCUGCAGGUAAUACAUCUGAGUCUAAAGAGCUUCGCAGAGUGUAUUUGUCAGUCUUUCCAGUAUUUGUCCUUCUUCUGGUUGUUGGUGCCCUUGGGAAUGCUUAUUUCAAACAAAGAAGGGAGACUAUCAAGGAUGACAUCACUUCCCCCUGAGGAGGGCAUCUGAUAUAGCUCUGUCAUAUAGCCUGUGUCGACGAAAGGCAUUUGCUAAGAUUUAUAUCCCAAUCAAAUGAGAGGUUUUGCAAUAUUUCUGUUCUGAUUUAAUGUGACAAAUCUCUUAAUUACUCCAGACCUCAGAUUUGUAGUGAUGCACUCAUAUCUGCCAGUUAUGAUAAAACCAGUAACAUAAGGUGAAUCAGAUGGAUGAUCUGAAGAUAAUAUCUGGUUCCAGCAGGUUUUCAUGUCUUUUCUGAAAAGAUGAGCAAGUGAAUCUGUUCCCAUCUGUAACAAAAAAAAAAAAAAAAUCCUUUUGUUUUGCCUGUACUUUCUGACAUGUUUUCGAUGUUAUAAUAAUCAACUGGAGUGUUAUAUCGUUGUUACUGAACGUAUAUAAUGUGGGUUUAACAGGUAUUGGUUUUCUAACUCCUUAUUAAGUUGAUGUGAACAGGAUAUUUUUUAUUAUAAUUUUACUGAAUUUUACUUUCACUGAAGACGAAAGCGAAUGGGAAUGUUUUUUUUAAGAA